rnacentral:rRNA from 1 species
UACGUAGGUGGCAAGCGUUGUCCGGAUUUACUUGGCGUAAAGAGCGCGCAGGCGGUCGAGUAAGUCGAAUGUGAAAGCCCCCGGCUCAACUGGGGAGGGUCACGCGAUACUGAUCGACUCGAAGGCAGGAGAGGGUAGUGGAAUUCCCGGUGUAGUGGUGAAAUGCGUAGAUAUCGGGAGGAACACCAGUGGCGAAGGCGACUACCUGGCCUGUUCUUGACGCUGAGGCGCGAAAGCUAGGGGAGCAAACGGG